CCUACGGGAGGCUGCAGUCGAGAAUCAUUCUCAAUGGGGGAAACCCUGAUGCUGCGACGCCGCGUGGGGGAAUGCAGGUCUUCGGAUUGUAAACCCCUGUUAUGUGGGAGCAAAUUAAAAAGAUAGUACCACAAGAGGAAGAGACGGCUAACUCUGUGCCAGCAGCCGCGGUAAUACAGAGGUCUCAAGCGUUGUUCGGAAUCACUGGGCGUAAAGUGUUCGUAGGCUGUUUCGUAAGUCGUGUGUGAAAGGCGCGGGCUCAACCCGCGGACGGCACAUGAUACUGCGGGACUAGAGUAAGGGAGGGGGAACCGGAAUUCUCGGUGUAGCAGUGAAAUGCGUAGAUAUCGAGAAGAACACUGGUGGCGAAGGCAGGUUCCUGGACAUUAACUGACGCUGAGGCACGAAGGCCAGGGGAGCGAAAGGGAUUAGAUACCCCUGUAGUC
rnacentral:rRNA from 1 species